rnacentral:rRNA from 1 species
GUUGGCCGGUAUGAAUGGUGUCACGAAGGUCUCACUGUCUUAAGAAAAUCCCCAGUGAAAUUGAAUUUGUAGUGAAGAUGCUACAUCCAAAUUGUUAGACGAGAAGACCCCAUGGAACUUUACUGGAGACUUAUGCGGCUUAUCGGACUAAGUUCGAUCAAAUAAAUAGUUUAGAUUGUGUGGUGUUAACUGCUUUAUCUAAGGCCUAACUCUUUGGAGUAGUCUUUAGAUUUAGGCUGGUAAAAUUCACUCUUUUAUUUUAAGAAAGCUAACUCUUCUCUCGAAUUGAGUUUGAUCGGUGAGAGUAUCGCACAAGACUCUUGUCUGACUAGGAGUGGUGGAUUUCGGGGUUAGAGAAAGGAGGUAAGUUAGACAGUUUGGUUGGGGCGACCGCCUUUUAAAAAGUAACGAAGGUGAGCUUAAGAUACAUAUUUUAUAGCUGUUGUCUGACUGCGAAGGGGGGGCCCUGAGCAGACACUAAAAAGAGCCCUGGGCGGGUAAUGGUGGGUUGUAGUGACCCGUUGAUUUAAGGUGAAAUAGUUAACGAUAAACGAAUAAACG